GGGGAUUUAGCUCAGUGGUAGAGCGCUUGCCUAGCUAGCGCAAGGCCCUGGGUUCGGUCCCCAGCUCCCA
rfam:Rattus norvegicus chromosome 10, whole genome shotgun sequence.